CUUCAUUCCUGAACGUAUAUUAACAUUGGGACAAACAGAAAGGAUUAGCAUGGCUCCUGCGCAAGGAUGACACGCAAAUUCGUGAAACGUUUGAGAUUUAA
rnacentral:snRNA from 1 species